rnacentral:rRNA from 1 species
GUGGGGAAUUUUGGACAAUGGGCGCAAGCCUGAUCCAGCCAUGCCGCGUGCAGGAUGAAGGCCUUCGGGUUGUAAACUGCUUUUGUACGGAACGAAAAGGUGCCUUCUAAUAAAGGGCGCUCAUGACGGUACCGUAAGAAUAAGCACCGGCUAACUACGUGCCAGCAGCCGCGGUAAUACGUAGGGUGCGAGCGUUAAUCGGAAUUACUGGGCGUAAAGCGUGCGCAGGCGGUUUUGUAAGACAGAGGUGAAAUCCCCGGGCUCAAACUGGGAACUGCCUUUGUGACUGCAAGGCUGGAGUGCGGCAGAGGGGGAUGGAAUUCCGGGUGUAGCAGUGAAAUGCGUAGAUAUGCGGAGGAACACCGAUGGCGAAGGCAAUCCCCUGGGCCUGCACUGACGCUCAUGCACGAAAGCGUGGGGAGCAAACA